rnacentral:tRNA from 1 species
GGCAGAGGAGUACACUGAGCUUUGUAGUCAGAUACCUGGGUUCUCACCCCAGCUCUGCCA